GAUGAACGCUGGCGGCGUGCCUAAUACAUGCAAGUCGAGCGGAAGGACGAGAAGCUUGCUUCUUUGAUGUUAGCGGCGGACGGGUGAGUAACACGUGUAUAACCUACCUAUAAGACUGGGAUAACUUCGGGAAACCGGAGCUAAUACCGGAUGAUAUUUUGAACCGCAGGGGUGAAAAGUGAAAGACGGUCUUGCGGUCACUUAUAGAUGGAUCCGCGCUGCAUUAGCUAGUUGGUAAGGUAAAGGCUUACGAAGGCAACGAUGCAUAGCCGACCUGAGAGGGUGAUCGGCCACACUGGAACUGAGACACGGUCCAGACUCCUACGGGAGGCAGCAGUAGGGAAUCUUCCGCAAUGGGCGAAAGCCUGACGGAGCAACGCCGCGUGAGUGAUGAAGGUCUUCGGAUCGUAAAACUCUGUUAUUAGGGAAGAACAUAUGUGUAAGUAACUGUGCACAUCGUGACGGUACCUAAUCAGAAAGCCACGGCUAACUACGUG
rnacentral:rRNA from 1 species